GACGAACGCUGGCGGCGUGCUUAACACAUGCAAGUCGAACGAUGAAGCUGGAGCUUGCUCUGGUGGAUUAGUGGCGAACGGGUGAGUAACACGUGAGUAACCUGCCCUGGACUCUGGGAUAACCCCGAGAAAUCGGAGCUAAUACCGGAUAGGACCUCGGAUCGCAUGAUCUGGGGUGGAAAGUUUUUCGGUCUGGGAUGGACUCGCGGCCUAUCAGCUUGUUGGUGAGGUAAUGGCUCACCAAGGCGUCGACGGGUAGUCGGCCUGAGAGGGUGACCGGCCACACUGGGACUGAGACACGGUCCAGACUCCUACGGGAGGCAGCAGUGGGGAAUAUUGCACAAUGGGCGCAAGCCUGAUGCAGCAACGCCGCGUGCGGGAUGACGGCCUUCGGGUUGUAAACCGCUUUUAGUAAGGAAGAAGCCGCAAGGUGACGGUACUUGCAGAAAAAGGACCGGCUAACUACGUGCCAGCCGCCGCCGUAACAC
rnacentral:rRNA from 1 species